rnacentral:ribozyme from 12 species
AAAAGGAAAAAAACAGGCAAGACGAUUCUUCUCUUGGUAUUCUUCUUUUUCUUCUCUUUUUUCUUCCUUGUUAUU